rnacentral:rRNA from 1 species
GAUGAACGCUGGCGGCGUGCCUAAUACAUGCAAGUCGAGCGAACAGACGAGGAGCUUGCCCCUCUGACGUUAGCGGCGGACGGGUGAGUAACACGUGGAUAACCUACCUAUAAGACUGGGAUAACUUCGGGAAACCGGAGCUAAUACCGGAUAAUAUAUUGAACCGCAUGGUUCAAUAGUGAAAGACGGUUUUGCUGUCACUUAUAGAUGGAUCCGCGCCGCAUUAGCGAGUUGGUAAGGUAACGGCUUACCAAGGCGACGAUGCGUAGCCGACCUGAGAGGGUGAUCGGCCACACUGGAACUGAGACACGGUCCAGACUCCUACGGGAGGCAGCAGUAGGGAAUCUUCCGCAAUGGGCGAAAGCCUGACGGAGCAACGCCGCGUGAGUGAUGAAGGUCUUCGGAUCGUAAAACUCUGUUAUUAGGGAAGAACAAAUGUGUAAGUAACUAUGCACGUCUUGACGGUACCUAAUCAGAAAGCCACGGCUAACUACGUG